AUGGCGCUGCUGGGCGGGCUGCGGCUGCCCGCGUGGGUUCCGCUGAGCCGGGCGCAGAACUGCAGCUCGUGGGCCGGCUUCGAGGGGCCUGCGCGCACGCGCUCCUACUGGCGGUACCUGAGGCGCCUCGUGUGGGGCGCGCCGCAGCCGCCGUACCCGCGCGUGUGCCAGGUCGGGGACCCGGUGCUGCGCGCCGUGGCGGCCCCGGUGGAACCCAAGCAGCUGGCGGGGCCGGAGCUGCAGCGGCUGGUGGGGCAGCUGGUGCGGGUGAUGCGACGGCGCCGCUGUGUGGGCCUUAGUGCGCCGCAGCUCGGGGUGCCGCUGCAAGUGCUGGCGCUCGAGUUCCCGGACACGCUCUUCCGUGCCUUGUCACCGCGCCUGCGCGAGCUGCGUCAGAUGGAACCCUUCCCACUUCGGGUGCUGGUAAACCCCAGCCUGAGGGUGCUGGACAGCCGCUUGGUCACCUUCCCCGAGGGCUGUGAGAGUGUCGCCGGCUUUCUGGCGUGUGUGCCUCGCUUUCAGGCCGUGCAGAUCUCAGGACUGGACCCAAAAGGAGAGCCAGUGGUGUGGUCAGCAAGUGGUUGGACAGCUCGAAUCAUCCAGCAUGAGAUGGAUCACUUGCAGGGCUGCUUGUUCAUCGACAAAAUGGACAGCGGGACAUUUACCAAUCUUCACUGGAUGGAGGUGAAUGACUGAAGCUCUCCUUGAAUUGAGGAUCUGGAAGGCCAUCAUGCAGGCUAACAUGGUGAUAUCUUCUUGUGCUUCAACUUGGAAUUGGUUCCAAUCUGACAGUAAACAGUGAACUGCUGGUAUGUGCUGGGCUGAGAUGAAGAUGAUAGAAAUGCUUGCCCUGAAAUCAGAUCUGACAGAAUAUGAUUACAACAUGAGUACAAAUAUACCCUUGAAGAAGGAGUGGCUAUUUCCUGACAAUUUCACAUGGAGAGGAGCUGGCAGGAGGUCGUCUGCAUUCACUGUGGGCCGGGUAGUGGCCAAAGACCGGAGCAUGUCCGACUGCAGAGACAAGGAUGCAGCUGAGAAAGGCUGACUCCAGGGCCUCAGCACUCUUUUGUCAUGCUAUCUAACUGACAAGAGGCCUGCCUUCCAUCUGAAAAACUACUUCACCUACAGCUCCCAUGCCAUCCCUGCAGUAGUUCCGUUACUGAAUUCACUCCACAGUGCAGACAGCUGCCGGGAGAGACUAGGUGCUGCAGCUAGGAGCUCCUCUAGGAGAGGUCUAGACUGUUCAGGUAAGAGCCAUGUGAAAAAAGAUUUUCACCGGCUUCCUUCUGAACCAAAAAGCCAGGCCUUGGAAUGAUAAUUAGUAGCUUGACUUUACUUCUUUUCCUCUUAAAGACCCUCAGGGUCUCAGCAAGAACCCCAGCUACCUACAACCCCAAAGGCUGGGGGGUGGGGGGCGGCUGUGAGCCAGGACAAUAGGAAGAUGUGUAUCUUUAUUCUGGACUUUGUGGUUCUCUGCAGUGGGUCACUUACCAUGCAGACCACAGGCUCUAAGAGUUUAUCACCAGGGACAUCCAUCCAAGUCAUCUCUAUGGCCCCUGGAUCUCCUGGAGAACAUGGGGUCAGAAGAUCAUCAAUCAUAACACUAGGGUUGGUUCGAGAAGGGCCACAAACCUGAAACCAAGCAGAGACCAAGCAUGAGGCUGGCUGUUUAGUGGGUACAUCAGGACCUAGGGAUGGCUGAAGGGAACACCGAGGCUCUAGUCAUCAAAGUUGGAGGAGGGAGAAGCACCUUAAAAAUAGUCUGAGGGCUGGAAAGAUGACUCAGUCAGUGCUUGGUAUGCAAAUCUGGCUACCUGAGUUCCAUCACAAAGUUGUCCUUUUACCUCUAAAACAUGCUGUGGAACCUUCAUAUACUGCCUCUCUACCCGCACAGAAUUUAAAACAAGUCAAAAAGAAACCUUGGCAAACACCUGUAAUCUUAGCACUUAGCAAGUACAGGAUGUGUAAGUUCAAGGUCAUCUUCAACUAUAGGAUGAGUUUGAGAUUGUUCUGGACUGAACCAUCUUAAGAAAUAAAUGUACGUGGGCUAGUAAGAUGGCUUAGCAGGUAAAGGCAUCAGACCAAGCCUGAUGAUCUGAAUAGGAUCUCCCAGAUCCACAUAGUAGGAGAGAACUCCUUAAGACCUCUAUGUGUGUGCACGUGUACACAACAACUAUAAAAGAGGUCCAAGAGGAAUGAUCUGGUUUCAGAGGUGAUUGGACAAUAUGAUCCUCCAGCUGUUGGCCUCCAGAUCUUCCUGAAGCCCCAAAUGUUUCAUCUUCCACAAUAAUGCCAUCAAGAUUCAUCCCAUAAAUGUACUUGCAGCAAAAAUGUUCCUCUCACUGAAGUCUCCUGCAAUGGGGAAACAUACUAAGCAUACCAAAUCCUCAUGAAUUGGCUCAGGUCACUCCAGCAUGGUUUGUCAUCUUUUUUUUGUUUUGUUUUUCGAGACAGGGUUUCCCUGUGUAGCCCUGGCUGUCCUGGAACUCACUGUAGACCAGGCUGGCCUUGAACUCAGAAAUUCACCUGCCUCCCAAGUGCUGAGAUAAAGGCGUGCACCACCACUGCUCAGCGUGGUUUGUCUUCUAAUAGAGCAAACUGCUCGCCCCUCCAACUUCUGAGACUCCUGAUGACUCCACUUUGCUGAUAGGUACCCACUAUUUAAAGGAGAAUUAGCAUUUCUCUCAUAAGUUGUCUCCAUUACUGUCUUCCAUACACGCAGGACAGGGCUGGCAAACAGCACGACCCACACAGCAGACAAUCAGCUUGAAUGAUUGGGAAGUCCCCCUUCCAUUUACUGUGUCUGACACAAUGGAAGUGCUUGGUUGUCUGCACUCUGCCCUCCAGCAUGAUGCUGCCUGCCUAUCUUGUUUCCUAUAGCUGAAGAGCAUUAUACUCCAGCAGUAAUGGCAGGCAGGAUGUGUACUGCUCCAGUCCUAGAGCAAAAUGGUACCGGUUCUCCCACAGUGAAUGUCCCUUGAACAGCCAGAAAGUUGUUGAAGAGGCUACUCACACCUCCUGACUGCUAACACUGCCUAAGCCACUGCUGCCACUCACCUUCUUGAAGUGUGUUGCUGACUGUACUUUUCUGACUGGCUGCAUGAGGGAGUCCCGCACAAUAAUGCUGAUAUCUGCUCCUGAGUAGCCUUCUGUCUUGCGGGCCAGCUCAUGGAUGUUAGCAUCCGUGAGGUUGUGAGGUGUGCUUCCCAGAUGUAACCGAAACAUCUGGGCACGGGCUGCUUCCUCUGGCAAUGGGAUAUAAAUUCGCUUUUCAAACCUGGAAAGAUGCAUGACAUGAAAGCUGAGCUGAUCGCAGAGUGGUGGGAAGGGAGCAUGCAUGCUGAAAUGAGUGAUCCAGGCCCAAUACCCAGCUUUACCAAAGGGCUCUGCUUGACUUGCAGACUUGGGAAGAUUCUAGAGAAAUGGGGGCAGAUGGCUAGUUACAAACUGACCAUAGAGCUAGACAAAGAUAACAGACUCCUUCUAGGGGAGACUUACCUCCUCCUGAUGGCUGAAUCCAACACCCAGGGGAUGUUUGUGGCACCAAGAACAAGAGUCCCAUCAUUAUUAUUUCCCACUCCUGUGGAGAAUAGGAGACAAGUGACUGAAGAUGCCAGCAGGAGCAGCCAGACCCCAUGGGAAACUAAACCAUCUUGGGGCUUCCCUGGGUAGAGACCUACAGCACCACUUGUUCAGAGGAAUGGGAAGGCGACAUGACAAGGCCUCGGAACCCUCUCCCCCAUUGUGCCCAGUGCAGCUACAUCAUGGAGCCCUGGGUUGCCUUUAGGUAGAAGCCGGCCAAAGAGUGACAAAACACAAGCACACACCUUGCAUCUGGACCAAAAACUCUGUUUUGAUCCUUCGGGCAGCCUCACUCUCGUUUUCAUUCCGUGACCCACAGAGGGAAUCCACCUCAUCAAUGAAGAUGAUGGAAGGCUUAUGCUGUCUGGCCAACUCAAACAGGUUCUUGACUAGCCUGUGGGAAUAAGAAAGGGGUCAAGACCUGGACACUCCACCCAAACAUGCCCACCCUGGUGCCUCUCCCACAGGAAGGCUUUUUUUUUUUUUUUUUUUUUUUAAAAAAAGGAACAGGAAAAACAGCGCUGCAGACAAGUCCCCAAACAGUAGUGAAUCUUGGCAUCAGCCUCAAAUUUUGGGAGAGGAGCCCCACUCAUUAGCUCUUUGCCUUUCUCUGAGCCUCAGAUUCAUAUCAAAGAACGGAGGUCAUCUUGAGGAAUAAGCUAAACCCAUGAAAUGCCCCCAAAGAGGAUAUACAGCUGACUACAGAUGUGGUGACACAUGUCUGUUACCCCAAAACUGAGGAUGUAGUGUUAGGAGAAUCAGAAGUUCAAGGUAAGCCUCUGCUGCUACUGAUGGAGAUCGUAGCCAGCCUGGGGUACGUGAGAUUCUGUCUCAUAAAACCAAAAAGAAAACAAAUGAUACAUACUUAAAAUUGGUUCAUUUCCCUAUUUUUAUUUUACUUACAUUGGUGUUCUGCCUGUAUGUAUGUCUGUAUGGGGGUGUUGGAUUCUCUGGAAUUGGAAUUACAGAAGUGAACUGAAUGUUGUGGGUGCUGAGAGUUGAACCCAGGUCCUUUGAACCCUGAGCCAUCUCUCUAGCUCCUUUCUUUUUUUAUUUGCUUUGAGACAAGGUCCAAUUACACAGAACAGGCGGACCUUGAACUUGUAAUCAAUCCUUCUGCCUCUGUAUCCUGAGUGCUAGGAUUACAGGGGUGCCUCAUCAUUUCCAAGUUCCCAGAUAUAUAUGUAUCAGGACAGCAUCUCAAGAAGUAAGAGCCUGUUCUGACUACUACCCCUGAUUAUCCAACAGCAGCUCCUCUGGGAAGUGAUUUCCAAGGGGCCAGGAAGCUGGACUACCAGCAGCUGCCAAGGCUGCUGUAGCAUAGCUGAUGGCUGACUUACUUCUCGCUUUCCCCCAACCACUUAGACAUCAGAUCCGAGGAGGACACAGAGAAGAAGGUGGAGUUGUUGGCUUCUGUUGCCACGGCUUUGGCCAGGUAGGACUUGCCUGUGCCUGGGGGCCCAAAGAGUAGUAUACCUCGCCAAGGAGUGCGUUUGCCUGUAAUAAAGAAUGAACAGAA